rnacentral:rRNA from 1 species
UACGGAGGAUCCAAGCGUUAUCCGGAAUCAUUGGGUUUAAAGGGUCCGUAGGUGGACAAUUAAGUCAGAGGUGAAAGUUUGCAGCUCAACUGUAAAAUUGCCUUUGAUACUGGUUGUCUUGAAUUACUAUGAAGUGGUUAGAAUAAGUAGUGUAGCGGUGAAAUGCAUAGAUAUUACUUAGAAUACCGAUUGCGAAGGCAGAUCACUAAUAGUAUAUUGACACUGAUGGACGAAAGCGUGGGUAGCGAACGGG